AUUGAACGCUGGCGGCAGGCCUAACACAUGCAAGUCGAGCGGAUGACGGGAGCUUGCUCCUUGAUUCAGCGGCGGACGGGUGAGUAAUGCCUAGGAAUCUGCCUGGUAGUGGGGGACAACGUUUCGAAAGGAACGCUAAUACCGCAUACGUCCUACGGGAGAAAGCAGGGGACCUUCGGGCCUUGCGCUAUCAGAUGAGCCUAGGUCGGAUUAGCUAGUUGGUGAGGUAAUGGCUCACCAAGGCGACGAUCCGUAACUGGUCUGAGAGGAUGAUCAGUCACACUGGAACUGAUACACGGUCCAGACUCCUACGGGAGGCAGCAGUGGGGAAUAUUGGACAAUGGGCGAAAGCCCGAUCCAGCCAUGCCGCGUGUGUGAAGAAGGUCUUCGGAUUGUAAAGCACUUUAAGUUGGGAGGAAGGGCAGUAAGUUAAUACCUUGCUGUUUUGACGUUACCGACAGAAUAAGCACCGGCUAACUCUGUGCCAGCAGCCGCCGUAACAC
rnacentral:rRNA from 1 species